CAGAUAUAAGCAAAAUGAGUUGUUCUUGAUCUUGAACAAAAUGGGUUGUUUCUGUUCUUGAUCUUCGGCAAAAUGGGUUGUUCUUGAUCUUGAGGUUAUUCUUUGUUCUUAUCUUGAGCAUCUAUUUUUAAAAACAUUCCAUGUUGACCUUGCUCGAUAGUCCUACUCUGCUCAGCCUGAGCUCCUCACCAUGGCUGAGCUAAUGCCCUUUGCCACACCCUAUUGGUCGUCACUGUAGCCAAGGUCGACAUUGCCUACUACUUUGCUUUG
rnacentral:lncRNA from 1 species